UCCUGGAGCGCGGCAGCGUCUUCGAGUUCCGCCAGGCGCAGGAGGCCGUGUGAGACCCCAAAGCGGUUAUGGGGCGCCCCAUAACCUGCUGUGUGACCCCAAAACGGCUAUGGGGCACCCCAUAAAAUGCUGUGGGGCACCCCAAAACGGUUAUGGGGCGCCCCAAACCUGCUGUGGGGCAGGCCAAAACGGUUAUGGGGCACCCCAUAACCUGCUGUGUGACCCCAAAACGGCUGACACCCCAAACGGCUGUGGGGUACCCCAAACCCCGAUGUGUGACCCCAAAACGGUUAUGGGGCGCCCCAAAACAGCUGUGGGGUGGUCCCAAAUCUGCUGUGGGGCGGCCCCAAACAGCUGUGUGACCCCAGACCCUGCUGCUUGACCCCAAAACGGCUGUGGGGCGCCCCAUAACCUCCUGUGGGGCAGCCCCAUAACCUGCUUUGUGACCCCAAAACAGCUGUGGGGCAGCCCAAACCUGCUGUGGGGCAGCUACCCAAAACUACUAUGGGGCAGCCCCAAAUCCCCACUAUGUGACACCAAAUCCGCUGUGGGGCAGCCCCAAAUCCCUCUGUGUGACCCCAAAACAAUUAUGGGGCACCCCAAAUCUGCUAUGGGGUGGCCCCAAACCUGCUGUGGGGCAGCUCCAAACCCCGCUAUGGGGCAGCUCCAAACCCUGCUAUGGGGCAGCUCCCCCAGCUCUGCUAUGGGGCAGCCCCACAUUGAGAGAUAAGCACAGUCCAUAGGGCAGCCCCUGAGCCCGCUAUGGGGCAGCCCCUGAGCCCGCUAUGGGGCAGCCCCUGAGCCCGCUAUGGGGCAGCCCCCUGAGCCCGCUAUGGGGCGGCCCCUGAGCCCGCUAUGGGGCAGCCCCUGAGCCCGCUAUGGGGCAGCCCCCCACCCACUCCAGCUCUGCACCCCCUCUAUGGGGCAGCCCCCUGACCCUGCUAUGGGGCAGCCCCCCCUCUAGAUACGCACAGUCUAUGGGGCAGCCCCCCAACCCCAGUAUAGGGCACCCCCCAUCCACUCCAGCUAUGGGGGCAGCCCCCAUCCCUGCUAUGGGGCAGCCCCUGACCCCUCUGCAGGGCACUCCCUCCCAAACCCUGCUAUGGGGCAGCCCUGACCCUGCUAUGGGGCAGCCUCCACCCACUCCAGCUAUGCACAGCCUAUGGGGCAGCCCCUCCUCUAGAUACGCACAGUCCAUAGGGCAGCCCCCUAACUCCACUGUGGGGCAGCCCCCAAGCCUGC
rnacentral:lncRNA from 1 species